GGCGAAAAUUGAAGUGAAGUGACUCUCUUUUUCAGUACUUUUGAAGUAAUUCUGUCUAUAUAUAUGCAGUGGGAGGAAGGGUUGUUGAGUGUUUGCCCCUAUCUUCAGUGUUCCAACUUUCUCUGUCUCUUUGUCAUUUAAGAUUUUACUGUUAUUGUAUGUUUGAUUUUGAGUUCGAGUUUUGUGUUUGAUGUGUGUCUCUUCAACGAAACUGUUGGAUUUGUAGUUCUGUGAAAGAAAAAAGAAGGGUGUGAAGGACAGUUGGGUACGUGUUACCGACACCUGUACGUUCUGCAUGAGAGAGAGAGAGAGAGCGAGAGAGAGAGAGAGACAUGGAAAGAGAAAGAGAAGUGAAUAAGACUAGUGGAUGAUGAUGAAGGGAGAAGAUAGAGAGAAGGGUUUCUUCUUGUUCUUGUUUUCGUUUUCGUUUUCGUUUUCGUUUUGGGGGCAUUUCUAUGAUAUUUCUUCCUUAAGAUUCAUACUGGGUUUGGACUUGGUUUUAGUUUGGUAUGAAUAAAAACCCUAAAAUCGUUUUUGAAGUUCUCCAUUCCUUACUGAAAACGGCAUGGAUCGUGGAUUUUAGGGUCUUACUUUUGGUACCUUUUCCGUAAAUGGGUGUUACUGUGUUCUCAGAUCUGACUCAUUCCUUUUAUUUUUUCUUUCUUUUGGGUCUAUGUGUAACUGUUGUUUCUUCGUUUUGGUAAAUUUUUGUGUGGUUGGUCUGUUUCCUUGUAUGGGAAUACGCUUUACCCUUUCAUUCUUUACUCUUCUUCUUCUUCUUUCUCCUUCAUCAUCUUCUUUGUUCUUCUAUUCUCUCAUUCUUGGGACAUAGAAAUUGACAGAAGAGAGUGAGCACACAGAGGCACUUGUAUAAGUCUAUACUUUUGCUUUUGCGUGCUCACUUCUCUUUCUGUCAGCUUCCAGUGCCGGAAUUUGAUCAUCCUUUGUUGGUCACCUCUUGGCGAGUUUUGUUCCAUUCUCACUCUCUUCUCGUUUCUCCCCUUACUUCCUUACUUUCCCUUCUCUCUCUCUCAUUCUUGACUCUGGGAGUAGUUUGAACGCGACGGCAGUGAAGAUACUCUAUUCGAAGAGGAAUAUGGGUGUGCCUACUGAUGAUCUUUUCUGUGUCUUUUCUUUAUUUCCCUACAGAGCUUGCUCUCAAUAUGAGUAAUUUAUGCCUUUAAAUCUAUUUAUUUAUAUACAAUUAAUAUCUCCAAAGCGUGGCUUUUUAUGUUAUUUACUGUUGGGGUACGCCUGAUUACUGUGCGGAUUUAGCGUCAAAACUAUGAAUAAACAUGGGACCAUUUACGAUAUACAUAGCCUACUUAGUAGCUAGUUAGUAUGGUCCUCACUCAACAGACCCCUUCCCUUUCUCUUUUUUCUUCAGUGAUUUGCUUCUUGUUUAGUACUAUCUCCUUCAUGUUUUUCCCUUUUUUAUUCCUUCGCAUGCAAUCAUAUAUUCACUCAGAGAAAUUUUUGUCCUGAUUGGAGUUUGCUCUCACCUAAAUCUACCAGAAUCAGGCUGUUUUACUACUCUCAGCUUGCAAAUUAGUAUAACCCUAUCCUUGUAACAAUAACGGUUGCUUGUUUUACUGCCUGCUGAUGGAUGCUCUCCAAGUUGUGUUUUUUUGUGCAAAUUUAGUCAAAAUUGAUUCAUUUCCCAGAUUUCCAACUUCUGAUUUGACAGUGUAUUUGCCUGUUCUUCCCUUGUGAUUUGAUGAUUUAGUGAGUUCAGCUGACAAAAAGAGCAUCGGGGACUAGGAUUUAGGGCGUGUGAUGAUGAGUUUUCAUCAGCGAUUUCCCGCAUCUGUUUUCUCUCCUGCUUUUUUUGAUGUUCCUUUUGCAGGUAGGCAGGCAUUUGAGUUUUGUAACUCUCUGGAUGGAAGUUUUGAUAAAGGUAAAGCCUUUUAUCCAUUCAACAGUUUUUGAAUGGUAUAGUAAUCUGGUGCAUCGAUGUUUUGAAUCAAUCGAUCCGAUUCUCAGGGUUUGUAUACCAUUGGCAAAGCCUUGCCCAUGUAAUCCACCUCCUAAGCUAGUCUCCUUUGGAUGAAUUAUCUGCCCUCCUUUAGUCGUUUGAUCAAAGUAUAGUUUGGUGCUACGGGAUAUCAUACACCAAUGGUACCAUCAUGACCUCCUCAAAUUUGGUUCAAGGGCUUCAAAACAAGAUGUUGCCGCUCAGGAGUGUGAAAGAUGGAAGUGUAUAUGUGGAGCUAUAAUUCGAGUUUUGGACCAUCUUCUUGUGACUUAAUCUGAAGGAAUCAAACUUUAUGAAGGCAGAAAGAACAUUUGACAACGCUACUAGUCAAGCACAAGACUUGAGAAGGAUUGUCUGAAACCCCAUGGCAGGCGCACGCGUUCGUAGUUGGGUGGGGCCGUGAAGCUAAGAAGCCAUUGAUUGCAGGAUUAAUUGAAGGUUAUAUCUAUUACAGUUGAAUCUGGAUGUUACUUGGUGUGACCUCACAUUAGCUCGAGUGGUGGAAAAAGGUUGUUGCCCAUGAAUCCAGCUGUGUUGUUCUUCAAUGUCUUGUAAGAGAAUAAGAUGCAAAGGAAUGUGUGGAUAGCAAAAAACACAUGGUUGUACGACUUGUGGGACUAUUGCACAAAGAAAGACUAAAAUUGCUAUCUCGAUCAUGUCUUCCUCAAGGCGAGGCACGGCAAUCAGACUAAAAUUGCUAUCUCGAUCAUGUCUUCCUCAAGGCAAGGCACGGCAAUCUGUUGGCAUUGAGAUAUUCUGCCUUCCAGUUUAUGGUGAAAAUGAUUUGUUAAGGGUAGAAAUUUUCUAGCUUUGAACAUUCUGCUCUUUUAACCCUUUUUCCUGUAAUCGAUAUCAGGGAUGGAUUUAUGACUGAAUAAUCAAUAUUCAGAAGAGCUGGUGCACCUUGACAACUAAUAAGGGUUUACAAAUAGCAAAUAACUACCCAUUCUUUCA
rnacentral:sRNA from 1 species